rnacentral:rRNA from 1 species
UACAGAGGGUGCGAGCGUUACUCGGAAUUACUGGGCGUAAAGCGCGCGCAGGCGGUUCUUCAAGUCAGAGGUGAAAGCCCAGAGCUCAACUCUGGAAUGGCCUUUGAGACUAGAGAACUAGGGUACGGGAGAGGUGAGUGGAAUUCCGAGUGUAGAGGUGAAAUUCGUAGAUAUUCGCAAGAACACCAGUGGCGAAGGCGGCUCACUGGCCCGGUACUGACGCUGAGGCACGAAAGCGUGGGGAGCAAACAGG